rfam:Plasmodium falciparum complete gene map of plastid-like DNA (IR-B)
GUCAUAAUAGCUCAAUGGUAGAGCAAUGGAUUGAAGAUCCAUGUGUUAUCAGUUCAAAUCUGAUUUUUGACA